GAUGAACGCUGGCGGCGUGCCUAAUACAUGCAAGUCGAGCGAACAGACGAGGAGCUUGCUCCUCUGACGUUAGCGGCGGACGGGUGAGUAACACGUGGAUAACCUACCUAUAAGACUGGGAUAACUUCGGGAAACCGGAGCUAAUACCGGAUAAUAUAUUGAACCGCAUGGUUCAAUAGUGAAAGACGGUUUUGCUGUCACUUAUAGGUGGAUCCGCGCCGCAUUAGCUAGUUGGUAAGGUAACGGCUUACCAAGGCAACGAUGCGUAGCCGACCUGAGAGGGUGAUCGGCCACACUGGAACUGAGACACGGUCCAGACUCCUACGGGAGGCAGCAGUAGGGAAUCUUCGGCAAUGGGCGAAAGCCUGACGGAGCAACGCCGCGUGAGUGAUGAAGGUCUUCGGAUCGUAAAACUCUGUUAUUAGGGAAGAACAAAUGUGUAAGUAACUAUUCACGUCUUGACGGUACCUAAUCAGAAAGCCACGGCUAACUACGUG
rnacentral:rRNA from 1 species